ACCAGUCUGUGAAGGAGCUGAUGAGCUCUGCGACAAACAGGCUCACCGUCUUCAGGACCGCAGUCACAGCCGCCAUGACCCUGAACCUGCCAACAGGCCACCUACAGAGAAAACAGGUCAGAAGCUGCAGGUGCCCUGAGCUCGCACACUAGUAAUCAUGACUCAGAGCAAGACCGCCCCCUGCAGGAGGGAAAACUUCCUGCUGGGGGAUAUAUGGGAACAAGCAACUCUAGGAAUUCAUGGCUGGGUCUGAUACUACAUACUAUUAGUACUACAUACUCAAACAUACAGUACACAGUGCUUACUGCAUGCUAAAUAGUCAGUAUGCUGUUACACCAUACUUAAAAGCCCAUUAUUAACAGAUUAUGUGACAAGACAUGUACUGUUCACUUAUUCAGGUCUAUGCUUUGUUGGCUAAACUAGCAACUAUAUAGUGUGACCCUCGGUUUAGAAUUC